AGUGAACGCUGGCGGUAGGCCUAACGCAUGCAAGUCGAACGGCAGCACAGUAAGAGCUUGCUCUUACGGGUGGCGAGUGGCGGACGGGUGAGGAAUACAUCGGAAUCUACUUUUUCGUGGGGGAUAGCGUAGGGAAACUUACGCUAAUACCGCAUACGACCUACGGGUGAAAGCAGGGGAUCUUCGGACCUUGCGCGAUUGAAUGAGCCGAUGUCGGAUUAGCUAGUUGGCGGGGUAAAGGCCCACCAAGGCGACGAUCCGUAGCUGGUCUGAGAGGAUGAUCAGCCACACUGGAACUGAGACACGGUCCAGACUCCUACGGGAGGCAGCAGUGGGGAAUAUUGGACAAUGGGCGCAAGCCUGAUCCAGCCAUACCGCGUGGGUGAAGAAGGCCUUCGGGUUGUAAAGCCCUUUUGUUGGGAAAGAGAAGCAGCAGGUUAAUACCCCGCUGUUCUGACGGUACCCAAAGAAUAAGCACCGGCUAACUUCGUG
rnacentral:rRNA from 1 species